AGCACAUCUCAAUUCGGACUGGGCACAGUCAAGCGUUCAAUAGCCACUUAGUAGUCAUCGAAUCAGAUGCUGGAGACUUACAGAGUGUGAAAAAUUGCUACUUUUGAAGAAAACACUUGCGGUACCUGCCCUUCAGAAUCCGUCAUCAUGUUGUAAGGAAGUCCAGAUCAUAUGAAGAGGCCACAGGAAAAUAUUGUCUGAAUUCAUGAACAUCAAAGACCAUUCUGUCCAGCUCUAGCAUUCUACUGUUUAUGAAAAGAAAUCGAGCCCUACUAUCAAAUCAUCCAAUCAUUCCAAUGAAGGAAAGAGAAACCAAAGAAGGGAAUAUACAUGUCUUGUUAUUGUGUGUAUAUACCUUUAUGUAUAAUCACCUAUGACCCUUUGGAUAUUAUUGUAUGUGGUUUUCUUCCUGAUAAUAGUGGGUUUCUGGACACAUUACCACCAAAUAUAGUGCCCUUGGCAUGUUGAAUAUUUUAAGCUGAAGAAGUUUGAGAAAAUGACAGAAGCAAGAAGAUCACUCUGACCAUCCCCCUUCCGACUUGACCUUUCUUCCUUAAAACAGAUCAUAAAACCCUCAUGUCAGAGGUAACCUUCCUCUACUCAGGGAAAAGGAGCAUCUUUAUCUCUGAAGACAAGGGGAUACCAAGGAGGAUUCUAAGAAACAGGCCUUACUAAGUUUCCUCCAGUUUACUAUGCUUACCACAUACUCCUUAACCUGUCUUAUUCUAACAUGCUGUUGACUUUUCAUGAACCUAGCAUAAAAAUACACAGGCUUAACUGUUUCUUUGGGUUUCUUGGGCUCCUGUGUCACAUAAGACCUAUAUUGAAUAAAUUUGUUGGAUUUUUUUUUUUUUCAGUUUAACUUUUAGACCCACCCAGCAAUCCUAAGAGGGUUACAAUUUUUUUUCUCUCUCCUGUAAUACACACAAUUAUUUUCUUGGGUACAUUUUUGUAAAAAUCUUUGUUCUUAAAGUAUUUUCACUUAGCAUUCAUAUGAGGAUUAAGGGUGAUAGUUAUGGUAACCCUGACAGUUUUUAAGAACUCUUUAUGAUGUCCUGGAUCUGACCUACUUAUGGCACUUAAUUUGAUUCAGUCCAAUACAAUCAAUUUUAUUCUGCAGCAUUUUCCCAUGUGCAUCCCCUGUAAACAUUACAUUAACUCAUGGAAACCUGGCUCGAAAUUCUCUUCCAGUGGAAAAGUUAAUGCCAUGAGUGAGUAGGCUGGCUAAUUAAUAAUUUUAGAGGUUAUGGUGAAAUGUUCCUUAGUAGGAAUUUCCAUUUUGGAAGAGCAGAGCCUAUUUUUUUUCUUGUCCUGAGCGAUAUGCAUGAUAUAAAACUUUUCAUAUCUCUAAAGGCUUAAACUAGAAGCUACUGUUGGUUGGCCUUUUUUUUUUUUUUUUUAAGUGUUUCUCCUAGCAGGAGAAUAAUAAAAAGUAUUGCCUUUUAUAAUCAUUCACCAGCGAACAGUCCAUAGAUUCAUCAAAUGAAAAAUUCUUCAUAAAGAAAAUCCAAAACAUACUAAUCAAGCAAACCUAGGCAAGUUUGCAUAUUUUUGCAGAAAAUUAGAUUAGUCAAAGUAAGACUUAGAUAAUGUUCCAAAUCUCUAUCAACUCAUUUGUUUGUAGGUUCAUCAGAAGAGGAUUUAACUGGCCAAAAUGAGGGGGCAAGGAAGUAAAAGUCUCCUAAUGUUUAACUGCUUGCAGCUGCUAACUUUGUAUCCAGCCAAUAAAGAUUUAUAAACAGUACAUUCUUUGUUUCAUGCUGAGGUUUCUCCAUAUACAAAAA